UACGUAGGGUGCGAGCGUUGUCCGGAUUUACUGGGCGUAAAGAGCGCGCAGGCGGUCGUUCAAGUCGCGUGUGAAAGCCCCCCGGCUCAACUGGGGAGGGUCACGCGAUACUGAUCGACUCGAAGGCAGGAGAGGGAAGUGGAAUUCCCGGUGUAGUGGUGAAAUGCGUAGAUAUCGGGAGGAACACCAGUGGCGAAGGCGACUUCCUGGCCUGUUCUUGACGCUGAGGCGCGAAAAGCUAGGGGAGCAAACGGG
rnacentral:rRNA from 1 species